rnacentral:tmRNA from 1 species
GGGGGUGAACGGAUUCGACGGGAAUGCGGAAGUCCGGCGGCAAGCGGAGUUCCCGCCAUCUCCUCAAGGGCGGACCUGCCGAGAUAGAGCGGCGGGACCGACCUGAAAAAUGGCGGAUUCACCAAUAAAUGCCGACAACUUGGCAUUCGCCGUCCCCUCCUAUAACUGAGUGAGGGGCCGCUCCUAAAGCCCUCGCCCGUGGGGCUUCAGGGGCGUCGACUGAGCGGGCUUGCCUCUCCCCUCUCGCCCGGGAGGGGGAGGGACGAAACUAGACUAGAGGGCUCGGGCCGUAAGAUCCUGUCCCAUGGGAGCUUACGGUCUCAGAGGAAAACAUGGGACUAAGCUUGUAGAAGUC